UUCCGGUUGAUCCUGCCGGACCUGACUGCUAUCGGAUUGAUACUAAGCCAUGCGAGUCAUUGCAGCAAUGCAAGGCAGACGGCUCAGUAACGCGUAGUCAACCUAACCUAUGGACGGGAAUAACCUCGGGAAACUGAGUAUAAUGCCCGAUAGAACACUAUACCUGGAAUGGUUUGUGUUCCAAAUGAUUUAUCGCCGUAGGAUGGGACUGCGGCCUAUCAGUUUGUUGGUGAGGUAAUGGCCCACCAAGACUAUUACAGGUACGGGCUCUGAGAGGAGUAGCCCGGAGAUGGGUACUGAGACACGGACCCAGGCCCUAUGGGGCGCAGCAGGCGAGAAAACUUUGCAAUGUGCGAAAGCACGACAAGGUUAAUCCGAGUGGUUUCUGCUAAAGGAACCUUUUGUUAGUCCUAGAAACACUAACGAAUAAGGGGUGGGCAAGUUCUGGUGUCAGCCGCCGCGGUAAAACCAGCACCUCAAGUGGUCAGGAUGAUUAUUGGGCCUAAAGCAUCCGUAGCCGGCUCUGUAAGUUUUCGGUUAAAUCUGUACGCUCAACGUACAGGCUGCCGGGAAUACUGCAGAGCUAGGGAGUGGGAGAGGUAGACGGUACUCGGGAGGAAGUGGUAAAAUGCUUUGAUCUCUCGAUGACCACCUGUGGCGAAGGCGGUCUACCAGAACACGUCCGACGGUGAGGGAUGAAAGCUGGGGGAGCAAACCGGAUUAGAUACCCGGGUAGUCCCAGCUGUAAACUAUGCAAACUCAGUGAUGCAUUGGCUUGUGGCCAAUGCAGUAUUGCAGGGAAGCCGUUAAGUUUGCCGCCUGGGAAGUACGUACGCAAGUAUGAAACUUAAAGGAAUUGGCGGGGGAGCACCACAAGGGGUGAAGCCUGCGGUUCAAUUGGAUUCAACGCCGGA
rnacentral:rRNA from 2 species